rnacentral:rRNA from 1 species
UCGGGAAUUUUGGGCAAUGGGCGAAAGCCUGACCCAGCAACGCCGCGUGAGGGAUGAAGUAUUUCGGUAUGUAAACCUCGAAAGAAUGGGAAGAAUAAAUGACGGUACCAUUUAUAAGCUCCGGCUAACUACGUGCCAGCAGCCGCGGUAAUACGUAGGGAGCAAGCGUUGUUCGGAUUUACUGGGCGUAAAGGGCGCGUAGGCGGCGCGGUAAGUCACUUGUGAAAUCUCUGAGCUUAACUCAGAACGGCCAAGUGAUACUGCUGUGCUAGAGUGCGGAAGAGGCAACCGGAAUUCUUGGUGGAGCGGUGAAAUGCGUAGAUAUCAAGAGGAACACCCGAGCCGAAGGCGGGUUGCUGGGCCGACACUGACGCUGAUGCGCGAAAGCCAGGGGAGCAAACG